ACGAGGCAGCUGUCGCAACGCCGGCAGCGCGAGUGGAUCGCCCGCCUCAACAGGAAAGGUGUCGCCGAUAAUCCGCAGAAGUACAAAGUGUGUUGCCGACACUUUUUAUCAGGGCCACAGUCUCCAGUGGGUGCUGCUGGCUCUGCAAGGGCUUUUCGGCUCACGAGCUGCACUGACAUCGGCAACUAAUCGUCGUUUUUUCAUCGACAACGCGAAAUACAUUUUAGCGAUAUGC
rnacentral:lncRNA from 1 species